rnacentral:lncRNA from 1 species
UAAUUGACUUCUGCCUACUCCAUACCAAGUUUAAUUACGAAGAAAAAGAGAGAAAAACAACAAUAAAAUAUUAACGAUGGAGAACUUCAGCUAUUACUUCAUGUACUUUCUGUCAAACAAACAAUAAAAUUUGUGAGCUUUAGUUCAAUAGUUAUGGAAACAAACAACGAAAGAAAAGUAAUUUUCACCCAAAUUUUAGUUCACUGAAAGGUCUACUUCAAUCCGAAUUUUAUUUUCGGUGAAACAAAUAGGGUCAAGAUAAAGUGCAGAUUGAAGUAGACUUUUGGACAAAGUAGAGUGCAAGUGAAAAAUUACUUUUUUUUAUUGUUUGUUUGUAUAGGCGUAAAAUCGAAGUUUUUUGGAGAUCAACUAUUUGUUUAGUGGAA